AUUGAACGCUGGCGGCAGGCCUAACAAAUGCAAGUCGAACGAGUGGCGGAAGGGUGAGUAAUGUAUGGGAAACUGACUGAUGGAUGGGGAUAACUACUGGAAACCGUAGCUAAUAACGCAUACAAUAAGAUGUUCCCAGAUGGGAUUAGCUUGGUGGUGGGGUAACGGCUCACAAAGGCGACGAUCCCUAGCUGGUCUGAGAGGAUGACCAGCCACACUGGAACUGAGACACGGUCCAGACUCCUACGUGAGGCAGCAGUGGGGAAUAUUGCACAAUGGGCGCAAGCCUGAUGCAGCCAUGCAGCGUGUAUGAAGAAGGCCUUCGGGUUGUAAAGUACUUUCAGCUGGGAGGCGUUACCCGCAGAAGAAGCACCGGCUAACUCCGUGCCAGCAGCCGCGGUAAUAC
rnacentral:rRNA from 1 species